AGAGUUUGAUCAUGGCUCAGGAUGAACGCUGGCGGCGUGCCUAACACAUGCAAGUCGAGCGAUUCUCUUCGGAGAAGAGCGGCGGACGGGUGAGUAACGCUGGGUAACCUGCCCUGUACACACGGAUAACAUACCGAAAGGUAUGCUAAUACGAGAUAAUAUACUUUUAUCGCAUGGUAGAAGUAUCAAAGCUCCGGCGGUACAGGAUGGACCCGCGUCUGAUUAGCUAGUUGGUAAGGUAACGGCUUACCAAGGCGACGAUCAGUAGCCGACCUGAGAGGGUGAUCGGCCACAUUGGAACUGAGACACGGUCCAAACUCCUACGGGAGGCAGCAGUGGGGAAUAUUGCACAAUGGGCGAAAGCCUGAUGCAGCAACGCCGCGUGAGCGAUGAAGGCCUUCGGGUCGUAAAGCUCUGUCCUCAAGGAAGAUAAUGACGGUACUUGAGGAGGAAGCCCCGGCUAACUACGUG
rnacentral:rRNA from 1 species